CCUAGCCUUGGAGUGGGGAAUAACAACUGGAAACAGCUGCUAAUACCGCAUGAUGCAGUUGAGUCGCAUGGCUCUGACUGCCAAAGAUUUAUCGCUCUGAGAUGGACUCGCGUCUGAUUAGCUAGUUGGUGGGGCAACGGCCCACCAAGGCGACGAUCAGUAGCCGGACUGAGAGGUUGGCCGGCCACAUUGGGACUGAGACACGGCCCAGACUCCUACGGAAGGCAGCAG
rnacentral:rRNA from 1 species